rnacentral:rRNA from 1 species
GUAGUCCAUGCCGUAAACGUUGGGCACUAGGUGUGGGGGACAUUCCACGUUUUCCGCGCCGUAGCUAACGCAUUAAGUGCCCCGCCUGGGGAGUACGGCCGCAAGGCUAAAACUCAAAGGAAUUGACGGGGGCCCGCACAAGCGGCGGAGCAUGCGGAUUAAUUCGAUGCAACGCGAAGAACCUUACCAAGGCUUGACAUGAACCGGAACGGCGCAGAGAUGUGUCGGCCACUUGUGGCCGGUUUACAGGUGGUGCAUGGUUGUCGUCAGCUCGUGUCGUGAGAUGUUGGGUUAAGUCCCGCAACGAGCGCAACCCUCGUUCCAUGUUGCCAGCGGGUUAUGCCGGGGACUCAUGGGAGACUGCCGGGGUCAACUCGGAGGAAGGUGGGGACGACGUCAAAUCAUCAUGCCCCUUAUGUCUUGGGCUUCACGCAUGCUACAAUGGCCGGUACAAAGGGUUGCGAUGCUGUGAGGUGGAGCUAAUCCCAAAAAGCCGGUCUCAGUUCGGAUUGAGGUCUGCAACUCGACCUCAUGAAGUCGGAGUCGCUAGUAAUCGCAGAUCAGCAACGCUGCGGUGAAUACGUUCCCGGGCCUUGUACACACCGCCCGUCAAGUCACGAAAGUUGGUAACACCCGAAGCCGGUGGCCUAACCC